rnacentral:rRNA from 1 species
UACGAAGGUCCCAAGCGUUGUUCGGAAUCACUGGGCGUAAAGGGAGCGUAGGCGGCGUGGUAAGUCAGAUGUGAAAUCCCGGGGCUCAACCCCGGAACUGCAUCCGAUACUGCCAUGCUAGAGGAUUGGAGAGGUAGCUGGAAUUCUUGGUGUAGCAGUGAAAUGCGUAGAGAUCAAGAGGAACACUCGUGGCGAAGGCGGCGACCUGGGUAGAUACUGACGCUGAGGUGCGAAAGCGUGGGGAGCAAACAGG